rnacentral:pre_miRNA from 1 species
CAUAUACUCCUUCCGUCCAAAAAUAUUUAUCAUAUGAAUGGAUGUAUUUAGAUGUAUUUUAAUUCUAAAUAUAUUCAUUUUUAUACAUUUCUGCGACAAGAAAUUUCGGACGGAGGAAGCACCAA